CGCGUGAUGAUUCUGUCGCGCUAUAUGCUCAGUUUAAAGAUUAAGCCAUGCAUGUCGAGUUCAUCUUUGAAGAGAAACUGCGAACGGCUCAUUAGAGCAGAUGUCAUUUAUUCGGAACGUCCUUUUGGAUAACUGCGGUAAUUCUGGAGCUAAUACAUGCAAAUAAACCCUGACUUUUGAAAGGGUGCAAUUAUUAGAGCAAAUCAAUCACUUUCGGGUGCAGUUUGCUGACUCUGAAUAACGCAGCAUAUCGGCGGCUUGUUCGCCGAUAUUCCGAAAAAGUGUCUGCCCUAUCAACCUGAUGGUAGUCUAUUAGUCUACCAUGGUUAUUACGGGUAACGGAGAAUAAGGGUUCGACUCCGGAGAGGGAGCCUUAGAAACGGCUACCACAUCCAAGGAAGGCAGCAGGCGCGAAACUUAUCCAAUCUUGAACAGAUGAGAUAGUGACUAAAAAUAAAAAGACCAUUCCUAUGGAACGGUCAUUUCAAUGAGUUGAUCAUAAACCUUUUUUCGAGGAUCAAGUGGAGGGCAAGUCUGGGCCCCAGCAGC
rnacentral:rRNA from 1 species